rnacentral:tRNA from 1 species
GCGGGGGUGCCUGAGCUUUUCCUCGACUCAGAGUCGCGGAAGAAAGAAGCAUGGAAAAAGGGUAGGACCGAGGCUCCUAUGGUUUAGUACCUACGCGAGUUCAAAUCUCGUCCCCCGCACCA